rnacentral:sRNA from 1 species
AUUGACUGUAUGAGGAUCCAAUACUAUGCUGGGAUAUUACAUUUAUGCACGGUCGAACACAUUUUUAUAGCACAGUACAUUUUGAUGAUGUUCCUCUGUAAAAAGGCGCUAGUGUUCUUAGCUUUCUUUAUUACCUAGUUUUUCUGGAAAUUCUAGCUUACCACAGUGUUUGUUUACACCAAAAUAUGUUUUCCUGAUUCCACUUUAUCCAAGACGAUGAAAAUGGAUAGAUGAACAUGAAGAAAUUGGCACUUCUGUGGAUUAAAUUUUAUGAGCCAGUCCAUAUCUUUUGGAGCAGGACCGUGUCAUCAGGCGUGUUUUCACGUUUUUACUGGACACAGCCGUCAGCUAUCAGCAGACGGAGGACCCGUGGGUAAUUUAAUGGGGUAGGUCGUUGAUGUAGAGUAGGAAGAAAGUAGUUGGUGUUAGACCUAGAACUCGUCCUUGAGGGACUCCUAAUUGUACUGAAGCUGUGUCUGGCCACUGAUCCAGCUGAUGUAGUUUGUGCAUCAGUCUGGUGUGGGGAACUUGGUCAAAUGCCUUAGAAAUAUCUAAAGAAUAACAUCCGACUGGCUUUUAUAGUCGAUAGACUUAGUCAGAUCUUAUAUGGUGAUGAUAAGUUACAUUUCUCAGGAUUUGUGCUUUCAAAAAGCUGCAUUGAGCGUCCGUUGGAAUUCCAUAAUGUCCAUAUGUGUCUCAUAAUAUUGCUGGUGAUUAUAUGGACUAGCAUCUUAAAUGUAAUUAAUGCUAAUGAGAUGUGUAUGUAGCUUUGUGGAUUGUUUUUAUGCACCUUUUUAAUACCAUGCAUUAGGACAAAAUAAACUCGCACGUUCACAUUUGUAAGUGGCUUGCUCAUAAAAUGUUGCUUCUUGCAAGUGUGAUGUCAGAUACUGUCAUUAUUCAAUUAAUUUUUCAAUAGCAAAUAGACUUUCUAAACAGUUUUGUUGCAUGCAAACGUAAUAAACUAUGUUGUAUGUUAACAUACUUUGCUGAAUGUUGCAUGUAAGCAUAAUUUAUUUUCCAUGUUGGGGGCAGAUAUGUGCAAAUUAACAAGGUAGAUUCAUGCAUCCAAGACCGUUUGUUUAAGAUUCACUUGAGUCUCCCUUUUUUCAUCUAUCACACUGUAUCUUCUAUCUUUUUCCAUUUCUUUUUUUAAUUUCAAGAUGUACUGACAGUUUUGUUAGCAUGUCUGAGCGUGAAUUAUCUUCAACAGCCUCCCUACUAUAUAAAUUAUUUUUAUAGCUACGUAUAUUUAGAAGCCACUUUUAUAAGACAGUUGGUUUUCACAUUUUACAGUGUCUAUUUCUUAAACCUUGCUUUUUUAAAGCUCCGUACAGGCUGUUACCUUUGUUUUUUUUAUGAUAAUGAUGAAAAAGUAAAACAAGUAUAGUGUUUUCAAAACAUCAUUAAUAUAUACACUUAAGUAUUAUUCUCUUUAAAACUUAAUAUAAGGAUGCUCUGAUAAAUAAGAAAUAUAUAUAAAAUUUACAAGUAAAGCUAUCUAUUUUGAAUUCUUGACCGGGAUGGACAGGGCUGUUUAACCACUGUUGUGCAUGUAUAAUACAUCUAUUAACAUGGUUGUGCUUUGAUACACAAAUAAGUACACUGUACCUUUUAUAUACCCUUGUUUAUGUUCACAACAUUUAUCUUGUUGACAAAUGAAUUCAGUUACAUUAUAGAACAAAUGCUUUUUUCUUGUACCAACAUCAUUAUAAUGUAAGUUAUUCAAGUAUUCUAAUAACAUUAAUCUUAUCUCGAGACAUUUUUCCUUUGUUUUGCAUAGCUAAUGCACUGCUAAAGCAUGUACGUUAUGACAAUGUUUAUCAUAAUAAACUUUUCAUAUACUAAAAUGUUAUUCAUGUUAUAUUUGACAUAUUUCAAAAAGAAAGCCACAAUUAAUUAACCAGUACUGUGAUCUUUGAAAGUAAGAUAUUCUUUUUUAUAUAAAUAAUUGUAAAGACAGGCGUCGGAUUUUGAGUAUAAAGAAUAUACAAGAGAAGAAAGCGGCAUCUAUAAUCCAAACUUUUAAGAAACUUGAAACAUUUGUAUCUCAACAAUCUUUAGAGUUAAAGUUCGAUAUUGUCGUGCUACAUUGUAAUUGAGUAAAUUAUCGUGUUUAG